AGGUUAAGCUAGGAAGAGCACAGGGUGGAUGCCUUGGCACUAAGAGCCGAAGAAAGACGUGAUAAGCUGCGAAAAGCUGCGGGGAGGAGCAAAUAUCCAGAGAGCCGCAGAUAUCUGAAUGGGGAAACCCACGCGGGAAGAAUCCGCGUAUCCGUACGUAAAUCCAUAGCGUGCGGAGGGGAACCCGGUGAACUGAAACAUCUAAGUAGCCGGAGGAAGAGAAAACAAAAGUGAUUCCGUAAGUAGCGGCGAGCGAAAGCGGAGGAGCCCAAACCGGAGUGCGUGCACACCGGGGUUCGGACUGCAGAAGUGACAUGCAAAUACAGUGGAACGGUACUGGAAAGACCGGCGGGAGAGGGUGAAAGCCCCGUACACGAAGUAAGAGCAUGCACGGCAGGAUCCAGAGUACGGCGAGACACGAGAAACCUUGCCGGAAGAAGCGGGGACCACCCCGUAAGGCUAAAUACUCCUUAGUGACCGAUAGAGCAGAGUACUGUGAAGGAAAGGUGAAAAGGACCCCGGGAGGGGAGUGAAAGAGAACCUGAAACCUUGUGUUUACAAGCUGUGGAACCAUGAGCGAUUGUGGAACCGCGUACUUUUUGUAGAACGGUCCGGCGAGUUGUGCAAACCGGUAGGUUAAGGGCUUAAGGUCCGGAGCCGGAGGGAAACCGAGUCUUAAUAGGGCGAAAAUCGGUUUGUGCAGACCCGAAACCGGGUGAUCUACCCAUGUCCAGGCUGAAGUCUGCGUAAAAGCAGAUGGAGGGCCGAACGCACAUCCGUUGAAAAGGGUGGCGAUGAGGUGUGGGUAGGGGAGAAAUUCCAAUCGAACCCGGAGAUAGCUGGUUCUCCCCGAAAUAGCUUUAGGGCUAGCCCUUCAGGAGUCACAUGGAGGUAGAGCACUGAAUACCCGAGGGGGCGUCAAAGCUUACCAAAGGUUAUCAAACUCCGAAUGCCAUGGAGAUGCUCUGGAGGAGUCAGACCGCACGAGAUAAGUUGGGCGGUCAAAAGGGAAAGAGCCCAGACCCGCGGCUAAGGUCCCGGAGUGCGUGUUAAGUGGAAAAGGAUGUGGGGAUUCAAAGACAGCCAGGAUGUUGGCUCAGAAGCAGCCAUACAUUAAAAGAGUGCGUAAUAGCUCACUGGCCGAGAGUGCCUGCGCCGAAAAUGUCCGGGGCUAAAACACGCCACCGAAGCCCGGGGAUCAUGAAGAAUGAUCGGUAGGGGAGCAUUGUUAACGCGAAGAAGCAGGACUGAAAGGUGUUGUGGAGUGUUAAGAAGAGAGAAUGCCGGAAUGAGUAGCGAGAAAGAGGUGAGAAUCCUCUUGGCCGAAUAUCCGAGGUUUCCAGAGUAAAGCUGAUCUGCUCUGGGUAAGUCGGGGCCUAAGGCGAGGCAGAGAUGCGUAGCCGAUGGACAACAGGUUGAGAUUCCUGUACUGGAUGGCAGCAGAACUGUGGGGACGCAUGUGGAGAGCACGAGCCGGAAGAGGAAAAGCCGGUGCAAGCGGAGGAGGAGUAUGGUUGGAAAAACCGCCAUGCAAUCCAAAGACGUGACGCGGAGCGAAAAAGAGUAGCGAAGCGUGUGAGCCAUGUGCCAAGAAAAGCCGCUAUAGACUGCCAUGCACCCGUACCGUAAACCGACACAGGUGGAUGAGGAGAGAAUCCUAAGGCCGACGGAAGAAGCAUUGUUAAGGAACUCGGCAAAAUGACCCCGUAACUUCGGGAGAAGGGGUGCCCUUGAAAUAGAGGGCCGCAGAGAAUAGGCUCAAGCAACUGUUUAGCAAAAACACAGGUCUAUGCAAAACCGAAAGGUGAAGUAUAUGGGCUGACGCCUGCCCGGUGCUGGAAGGUUAAGAGGAGAGGUUAAAAGGAGAAAUUCUUUGAAGCUUUGAAUUUAAGCCCCAGUAAACGGCGGCCGUAACUAUAACGGUCCUAAGGUAGCGAAAUUCCUUGUCGGGUAAGUUCCGAC
rnacentral:rRNA from 1 species